CUACGGGAGGCUGCAGUGGGGAAUAUUGCACAAUGGAGGAAACUCUGAUGCAGCAACGCCGCGUGGAGGAUGACGCAUUUCGGUGUGUAAACUCCUUUUAUAUGUCAAGAAAAUGACGGUAGCAUAUGAAUAAGCACCGGCUAACUCCGUGCCAGCAGCCGCGGUAAUACGGAGGGUGCAAGCGUUACUCGGAAUCACUGGGCGUAAAGGACGCGUAGGCGGGUUGGAAAGUCAGGUGUGAAAUCCUACAGCUUAACUGUAGAACUGCACUUGAAACUUCUAAUCUAGAGUAUGGGAGGGGGAGAUGGAAUUAGUGGUGUAGGGGUAAAAUCCGUAGAUAUCACUAGGAAUACCUAAAGCGAAGGCGAUCUCCUGGAACAUUACUGACGCUAAGGCGUGAAAGCGUGGGGAGCAAACAGGAUUAGAUACCCGAGUAGUC
rnacentral:rRNA from 1 species